rnacentral:rRNA from 1 species
UACGUAGGGGCCAAGCGUUGUCCGGAUUUAUUGGGCGUAAAGAGCUCGUAGGCGGUUGGGUAAGUCGGGUGUGAAAACUCCAGGCUCAACUUGGAGAUGCCACCCGAUACUGCUCUGACUUGAGUUCGGUAGGGGAGUGGGGAAUUCCUGGUGUAGCGGUGAAAUGCGCAGAUAUCAGGAGGAACACCAAUGGCGAAGGCAGCACUCUGGGACGUGACUGACGCUGAGACGCGAAAGCGUGGGGAGCAAACAGG